AGGAGAUAUAGACACCGGCUGACUCUCACGUCGUUGUCCUUCAUUCGACCAAGACGACCGUUGUCUCGAUCUUCUUCAUUAACAGAAGACAGACUCAGGCUAUAUACAGCUUUGCUCACUUCACCAAAGCCUAAUCAGGACGAUUUUGAUUUUUAAAAAGAGCAACAAACAAAUGGAAUGUUACCUUCUUUCUGUUAUGAGAUAGGAG
rnacentral:misc_RNA from 1 species